rnacentral:sRNA from 1 species
AAUAUACAAUAUUAUUGAGGUCGAUAAGACUUCAAUGGACUUUAGAUUUGGAAUCGUACAGCAAAUUUAGUACGAGAUUAAAUCAACAUUUCAAUGUGGAUUAAGGUACUUGAUUCCGGUAAGUCAAACAGCGAUAUAAUAAUGCACAGGUAUAAACUGACUAUUGUUGAAUCUUACAGCUAUUUUUACAAAAGCUUGGAUACUUGUUUUGAUUCUAGUUAGUCAAACAGCAAAAAUUUAUGCGAGGUCGAUUGACAACUUGAGAUUCUAGUGGAUUAAACAGCAAUUAGACAAAAAAAAAUGUUUUUUUAUUUUUGAUCCUUGUUGAAUCAAACAGCAACUAAUUCGUAUUAUGUUGGAACUGAGACCUUAGACAAAGUAAUUAGGUCACACAGCGAACUUUACCAGCGAACUUACUUAUUGACAUUUUUCGAUUUUUUUAGUAGUCGAAAAUGUUGACAUUAAUUAUUUUUAAUCGUUAUUGAUUAAAAAUAAUUAAUAA